AUGGGUAUAUAUAAAUGUCCAUGGGUAUAUAUAAAUGUCCAUGUGUAUUUAUAAAUGUCAAUGGGUAUUUAUAAAUGUCAAUGGGUAUUUAUAAAUGUCAGUGGAGGAUGUGUGCUUUUCAGGGUGUGGUUUUGUUACAUUACAAGUGGUAGUCACAUGAUAACCUGCCACAUGGUCCACAAGAAUGGCUGAAGGUGUGAAUGUUGGAGUGUUGUCUAGUGCCCUGGCUGUUUCAAUUCAGCAAGCAGUUAGCAGUGGUCAGUUACAGUUACCUCAAGUGCCAACAAGUGGUGCCAACCAGAGUCCCAUUAGUGACAGGUCUGAUCGUCCAGGAAGGCCGAGCGAGGUCCACUGUUACCAUUGACGAAAUACUGGAAAUACGAUCACUUCAUUACAAAUGGAAUAAAAUUGCGUCUAUCUUGGGAAUAUCAAGAGCAACUUUGUACAGACGAUUAGAAGAAAAUGGAAGAUCCUCACAGGAUGGGUCGAUGUUGGAUGAUAAUGAGCUAGAUGAUGUGAUCAGUGGUAUAAAAAGAGAUCACCCGAAUGAUGGGGAACGACUUGUUUGCGGCCACUUAAGAGCAAGGGGAUUAAAAGUUCCUCAGCAAGCUGUCAUUGCGCGUCGCUGUACUGUUGUUAGACGCCGUGUGUACAGUGCCCCUCACCCAAAUUAUGUGUGGCACAUUGAUGGCCAUCAUAAACUUAUAAGGUGGCGUUUUGUGAUCCAUGGUUCAAUUGACGGCUUCUCCCGCACUAUCAUUUAUGUGGCAUGCACCGACAACAAUCGUUCAGAAACUGUUCUCCAGCUCUUCACUGACAGUAUCAGGCACUAUGGUGUCCCUAACCAUGUGAGAUCAGAUCAUGGUGGAGAAAAUGUGGAGGUAUGGCGGUACAUGAUUGCUGCACACAAUAAUGAUUACAGUUGUGUAAUCACCGGGAGUUCUGUGCACAAUGAAAGAAUGUGCACAAUGAAAGAAUUGAGAGACUCUGGCGUGACGUUCAUAGAUGUGUUGGUUCCGUGUUUUCCCAAAUCUUCCGAUCUUUGGAAAGUGAUGGACUUCUUGACCCCUUAAAUGAAGUGGAUCUUUACUGUUUGCAUCUGAUCUUCCUGCCACGAAUAAACAAAUGUAUUUCAGGUUUCGUAGAUAGUUGGAAUCAUCAUCCUUUAUCUACUGAAGGCAAUCGAACUCCAUACCAACUUUUUUUUGAAGGUAUGCUGCAAACAAGCGAGCAAGAACUUGGUACUACAGCUAAUGUGGACACUUCUGAUGUUGAAGGAGAACGUAAGGAGAACGUGUAUCAGUGCCAAGAAUUAUCAGUGCCAAGAAUUAAGUUUAUACCAUGCUCAAUUUUAAAACAAAGUUUCCAAACUAUAAAUCCCCUUGAAGAAGCAGAAGAUAAUGGUAGAGGACUCUUUGUCGACGUACUUCAUACUACAGGACAGCAUCUUAAUGCUACUUGCUCACAAUGUAUUUGGAUGUAAUAUUCAAUUAUUAUAAUUAUGAUAAGAAUGAAUGAAAGAAUGAAUAAAUAAAUGAAAAAGGAAUGAAUAAUGUGAUGAUGAAUGAAUGAAUGAACACAAUGAAGUAAUACAGCAGCUAAAAUGUCAAGGUUGGAACUGUUAUAUACUAACUACGGACCACCACCAAAACCAGCAGAAUCCAAAACGCUCAUAUCCAUUUUUUUCUUAAACAUCUCAUAUGGCAGCUCGUCAAAAGAUCUUGGAAAGGUGAUGCUUACGUCACAUGUUGAAGUCUUAGGGAGAAUCUUUUCAUUUGUGAAGUGGACACUAGGGAUACAAGGAAACCCAGCUGCUGGAAGCCUCCUAGAGCCAGAGAUAAAUUGUAGAAUGUCACCAAUCGACACAUCUGAAAGCCAGGGUCACCAGACAGCUCACUUUCCUUGUCAGAACAUAAUCAGCUGGUAAAGAGUCAGCUGGUUAAAAACGUCGUCUCUGAACAUUUCUCUAAGGGUCAAGUUUUCCGUUGUAUAUAUACUGUACAGAUGCAGUUCAGCGGAAGUAUGAGCAGAUCAGGCGACAGUGGUCUCUCGAUCAAAAAGAAAACAGCGCAGAACGGCCAAAGCUAAACAAAGUCGGUGUCGAGCAAGGCGUCUUCGAAAACAUCAAAUUAGUCAAGUAUUGGAGCUCCUGCUUUCAUCACAGAUGAAUCAGAUGACAGUGAUGAUCCAGCUGUGAUCAUUGAACAUAAGCUUGGAUGGCGAUCUAAUCUUUUGAACACUCUCAUGCCAAAGUAAUGAAGGAUGGUGGGGCAGUCAUGGCCAAAAAAAUCAAGAAAGCCGGGACAACCACCUUGUCCUGCUAAUGCUAGUGAGACCUGUAUAUUAUUAUGUACUACCUCCUCCAGAUGCAUUCAUUAUCUGCGGAUGUUUAACAGAUGUGGUUUAAUUUGACAAAACUCAUUUCAGAAACUCUCAUGUAUCAUUAUCACUAACUUUGUAUACUUGUGUAUUGUUCAUGCUGUUAUGCUAAUUGAAAUCAAUUAUU